GUGGGAGUGGAGACUGCAGCUUCUUCUUCUUUUUUUUUAUUUUUUAGUUGGACACCGUAUCUUUAUUUAUUUAUUUAUUUUAUGUAGUGCUGAGGAUCGAACCCAGGGCCUCGCAUGUGUUAGACGAGCGCUCUACCACUGAGCUACAACCCCUGCCCCAAGACUGCAGCUUCUGAGUGACCUGGCGAUUCAAGGCCCAGUGAAGGGGACCAGAGAAAAAACCUGGCCUCCUAGCUUAAGCCCUGCUCACUGCUGAGGUUGCAUCUGGAAACAGGCACCUACUAGGCCUCCAGGAAAUAUUCAUCAGAUUAAAUCCAUCACUGUCUAUCCUCAUAGAAGCCCCAGAGCACCCCUGUGUCUUCAGAUAGUUUUUGAAAUUUCCCUGGAGGUGGGAAUUACAAAUAUCCAAAUGUUCACCCAGUCCUGUUGGCUUGUCCUUCAAAAUGGCUUUUGUUCCCCCAACCCUAAGUCAGACCAAGGUCUUAGGUGCCUGCCACCGUAUGUGUCCUUGAUCC
rnacentral:lncRNA from 1 species